AAUAAAAUUAUUUAUGGUUUAAAAAUUUAUUAUAAAUUUAUUUUACAUAUAAAUUUUAGUGUUAAUUUUUAAUUUAUUUAAAUAAUAAUUAAUAUUAUUUGUAGUAAUUAAAAUUAAAAAUUUAAGUAAUUAAGAUUUAGUAAUAUUUAAAUUAAUAACAAAUUUUGUGCCAGCAGUUGCGGUUAUACAAAAAUUAAAUUAAAUUUUUUUUAGGAAUUAAUUAAUAAUAGAUUAUAUAAUAAAAUUAAAAUUUAAAUUAUUAAGUGAAAUUUUAAUUUAUGAAAAUUUUAUAUUGAAUUAUGAAUUAAAAAAUUUUAUUAAAAACUAGGAUUAGAUACCCUAUUAUUAAAAAUUUAAAUUAAUAAUACUAAAAUAGUAUAUAAUUAUUUAUAAAAACUUAAAUAAUUUGGCGGUAUUUUAGUUUAUUUAGAGGAAUCUGUUUAUUAAUUGAUAUUCCACGAAUAAAUUUACUUAAUUUAUUUAAUUUUGUAUAUCGUUGUUAAAAAAAUAUUUUAAAAUAAUAAUAAUAUUUUAAUUUUUAUAUUAAAAGUUAAAUCAGAUCAAGAUGCAGAUUAUAAUUAAGAAUAUAAUGGAUUACAAUAAAUUUAUUUAAUUGGAUGUUAUUUUUAAAAAUUAAUUGAAAUUGGAUUUAAAUGUAAUUUUAUUUAAUUUAUUAAAAUGAUUUUAAUUUAAAAUAUGUACAUAUUGCCCGUCGCUUUCAUUAAUAAAUUGAAAUAAGUCGUAACAAAGUAGAGGUACUGGAAAGUGUUUCUAGAAAGAG
rnacentral:ncRNA from 1 species